rnacentral:rRNA from 1 species
UACGUAGGGUGCAAGCGUUGUUCGGAAUUACUGGGCGUAAAGCGCACGUAGGCGGAUUGGAAAGUUGGGGGUGAAAUCCCAGGGCUCAACCCUGGAACUGCCUUCAAAACUCCCAGUCUGGAGGUCGAGAGAGGUGAGUGGAAUUCCGAGUGUAGAGGUGAAAUUCGUAGAUAUUCGGCGGAACACCAGUGGCGAAGGCGACUCACUGGCCCGAUACUGACGCUGAGGCGCGAAAGCGUGGGGAGCAAACAGG